rnacentral:RNase_P_RNA from 1 species
AAAGUAAGUCGUCUUAUCGCUACUUUGAGGGGUAACCCGAUGAAGUUGAGGAAAGUCCGAACAGUGCAGAGCAUCAUGCUACCUAACGGGUAGGGGAUAAUCGAGCGAUUGAUUAUCUACAGCCAGUGCCACAGAAAAUAUACCGCCUUCGGGUAAGGGUGAAAAGGUAGGGUAAGAGCCUACCGCUUGUUUGGUAACAAACGAGGCAUGGUAAACCUCAUGAACUGAAAGACCAAAUAAACCGACGAAAGCAAUCUCCGGAUUGUUUAAAAGGCUGCUCGUCUGAGUCGGAGGGUAGGUUGAUAGAAAUAAUAGGUGACUAUUAUUCCAGAUAAAUGAUAAGACUUUAAUACUUAUUCUCGGGAUAAUUAUUAAAGACAGAAUUCGGCUUACAGGCUUACUUCUUCU